UACGGGGGGAGCAAGCGUUGUUCGGAUUUACUGGGCGUAAAGGGCGCGUAGGCGGCCACCGCAAGUCGACUGUGAAAUCUCCGGGCUUAACCCGGAAAGGUCAGCCGAUACUGCGGGGCGUAGAGUGCAGAAGGGGCAACUGGGAAUUCUCGGUGUAGCGGUGAAAUGCGUAGAUAUCUGGAGGAAUACCGGUGGCGAAGGCGGCAUCCUGGACCGGCAGUUGACG
rnacentral:rRNA from 1 species